rnacentral:rRNA from 1 species
UACGGAGGAUGCAGGCGUUAUCCGGAUUUAUUAGGUUUAAAGGGUGUGUAGGCGGAAGUUUAAGUCAGUGGUGAAAUUUUAGAGCUCAACUCUGAAACUGCCAUUGAUACUGAAUUUCUUGAAUUAGGUUAAGGUAGGCGGAAUGUGUAAUGUAGCGGUGAAAUGCUUAGAUAUUACACAGAACACCGAUUGCGUAGGCAGCUUACCGGACCUUAAUUGACGCUGAUGCACGAAAGCGUGGGUAGCGAACAGG